UACGUAGGGGGCUAGCGUUGUCCGGAUUUAUUGGGCGUAAAGAGCGUGUAGGCGGCCAGAUAGGUCUGCUGUGAAAACUCGAGGCUCAACCUCGAGAUGUCGGCGGAAACCAUUUGGCUAGAGUCCGGAAGAGGAAAGUGGAAUUCCUGGUGUAGCGGUGAAAUGCGCAGAUAUCAGGAAGAACACCCGUGGCGAAAGCGGCUCUCUGGAACGGUACUGACGCUGAGACGCGAAAGCGUGGGGAGCGAACAGG
rnacentral:rRNA from 1 species